rnacentral:tRNA from 1 species
GCUGGGAUGACCUUCGGUUCGGUCCGGGGUGCAGGCUUCAAACCUGUAGCCGACUAGCGUCGGAGUGGUUCGAUUCCACCUUCUCAGC